rnacentral:lncRNA from 1 species
UCGGCUCACUGCAACCUGCGCCUUAGCCUCCUGAGUAGCUAGGAUUACAGGCAUGAACCACCACGCCCAGGUUUCUCCACGUUAGUCAGGCUGGUCUCGAACUCCCGACCUCAGAUGGUUUUAUCGUCUCUCCACAGGGCCCUGAAAAAAACUCUCUUCCUGUGUCUGGCCAGAGGUAUAGAGAGAGACAGGUUCAACUCUAAGGCCUGAAAAGGAACAAGGCCCACCGGAAGCAAUGGCCACUGUCCCUGGCCUCCAGCCCCUGCCAACCUUGGAGCAGGACCUGGAACAGGAAGAGAUCCUGAUUGUGAA